rnacentral:lncRNA from 1 species
AUGCGUAUCAAGAAGUGUUAUUUCUCUUCGAGGCCCAUCUACCCCAGCCAUGACAUGAUGUUUGUCCGCAACGACUGCAAGGUGUUCAGAUUUUGUAAAUCUAAGUGUCAUAGAAACUUUAAAAAGAAGCGCAAUCCUCGCAAAGUUAGGUGGACCAAAGCAUUCCGGAAAGCAGCUGGUAAAGAGCUUACAGUGGAUAAUUCAUUUGAAUUUUAAAAACAUAGAAAUGAACCUAUCAAAUACUAGCAAGAGCUAUGGAAUAAAACUAUUGACGCAAUGAAGAGAGUUGAAGAGAUCAAACAGAAACGUCAAGCUAAAUUUAUAACGAACAGAUUGUAGAAAAAUAAAGAGCUACAGAAAGUUCAGGAUAUCAAAGAAGUCAAGCAAAACAUCCAUCUUAUCCGAGCCCCUCUUGCAGGCAAAGGGAAGCAGUUGGAAGAGAAAAUGGUACAACAGUUACAAGAGGAUGUGGAC